ensembl:lncRNA
UUCCUAUUUUUUUGUGUUGAUAAUGAUUUAAUCCUAGAAGGCGGCCAGUAUACUGCUCUUAAAACAGUUCUGUGGGUCGUCUUCAUCCUGAUGAGGUGUUGGCGCUUUAAAUACAGCUUGUCACACCGCGGUGAGGGAUGUCAUGUCUUGGGUUUUUUGUCUUGUCGAUUUCCAGUUUUAUUUUUGAAAAGUAACUUCCCUCUCGUUUCAGGUCACUUGCCCUUCCUCCUGUGUCACCGGUCUGGUGUCUCCCCUGAUCCCUGAUUGUUUCCACCUAUGUCUCCCCUCCUCAUGUGUAUAUAGUCUUUUUCUUCCCUUGUCCUUGUCGCCAGAGUAUUUCGUUCGUCACUGUCCGUGUACCUCCAGCUUUUGACUCACAGCCUUGUCUUUGCCAUGUCCUGAACUAAAACUCGAGACCUCCACUGAGACCACAUUGAGGUCGAGAUGCUCAACAUGGGGGCUUUGCUGCUGUUACUAAUCAGUGUGACUGAUGGUGUGAAGACCUUCUGCGACGCCACACAGGAAGAAUACACAGCCCGGUGCUUCGGCUCCCUGGGAGGAACCCUGGAGGUCAAGCUGUCCAAGACCUCAAGGCCUUUCAAUAUGAAGUGAAGCAAAACAAUGUUCUGAUUGUUCUUUCGACCCUCAGAUAUUAAACCCUCGAUUUUCAAUCACUUAUUCCUAGAAUAUUAACUGUAAAGGACCUCAACAGGUCGGACAAUGGUGAAUACUCAAUGCGUGACAUAUUUGGCUUAAGAAGAACAACAAAUUAUUUUUAUUUAUCCAUUGAAGCCCCGGUCUCCUCUCCCCUCCUGUCCCGGGAGUGUCUGUCCCGGGGACAGCAGAGGGUGUCCUGCGCUGCCGAGGGGGACGGACCCCACUACAGCUGGAGUCUAGACCGACUCCCGCUGAACGCCACGCGUCUCCUCUCUGGACACAGUAACGCUAGUGACAUCACUCUGGAGCCGGGCCUGUCGGGGCUGAUCACCUGCUCGGUCCGCAACAACGUGAGCGCAGCCGCGGCUAACCUAGCCCUGUCUGUGUGUGACCACCCCAUCCCUAUCGUCGCUCGUUAUCUGAUGGUGGUGGGGCUGCUGCUAGUAGCAUUGGGAGUCUACUGGGCACUGAAGAAAAAAAGAAAACUUCAAGACCUCAAGACAUCCCGCUGUCCUCCAUGGCGACCGGGGGAGCAGGGGAGUGAGGAGGAGAACGGCUGUUCCAGGUGGCUCCAGGCCUCAGGCGGACGCUGGAAGCUAAAGGGCGUCCUAUCCUAGCUGUCUCUGUUGUAUACAGGGAAUGGGUUAACCUAGUGAUUGUAAGUGCUUGUCACUUGGUUCUCUGAACAUCCUUCUGUACUGACAGCGAUAUAUACAGUUUCUAAGUCGCUUCGGAUACAAGCGUCUGCUAAAUGCCCUAAAUGUAAAUGUUAAUGUAAUUUUUUCAAUUAAUUAAUUAAAUUGAUAGCAUAUCAUAUUGAUUGAAUUUUUUUACUUUGCCUUUGUUUUCUUAUAUUUAUCUAUUUUAUUUUAUUAUUUCAUUUUAUUGUAUGGCAAUGUGUUUAUGUGAGGUACUUUGAGUCCGCCUCGUGUAUAUAAGUGCGAUAUAAAUAAAGUUGCCUUGCCUUACUUUCUA